rnacentral:rRNA from 1 species
CAGCCGCCGCGGGAAUACGAAGGGUGCAAGCGUUACUCGGAAUUACUGGGCGUAAAGCGUGCGUAGGUGGUGGUUUAAGUCCGUUGUGAAAGCCCUGGGCUCAACCUGGGAAUUGCAGUGGAUACUGGGUCACUAGAGUGUGGUAGAGGAUAGUGGAAUUUCCGGUGUAGCAGUGAAAUGCGUAGAGAUCGGAAGGAAUAUCUGUGGCGAAGGCGACUAUCUGGGCCAACACUGACACUGAGGCACGAAAGCGUGGGGAGCAAACAGGAUUAGAUACCCGUGUAGUCCCUGUCUCUUAUAC